CCUUCUAUGGUGCAAUGGUAGACACUCUUGAUUCAAAACCAAGCUGUUGUAGGUUCGACUCCUACUAGAAGGA
rnacentral:tRNA from 1 species